CAUCAAUGAUAUUAGUUUCCCACAGAAUAUUGAACUGAAUCAAUCAUAGAUAACCAAGAUUCUUAAAUAAUCAGAGCAUAGAAUACCAAACACCGUAAUUUCAAAUAAUCAAAAAGUAAGUUAUUCCUGGAUAAAGAUCUCAACUGAUAUAAAAUCACCUUCAUGAUCUCAUUUGAAUCGCUAAAUGCCACUAGACAAUUUUUUACAAUUUAGAUUUUAGAGGAUCCAUUGAGCAUGAGCAUGCAUGCGAGAGGAAGAGGAAUGGAUGUGAUUAAUCCAUUAUGUGAUUAUUUUUUAUGCAUGCGAGAGGAAGAAGAAUGGAUGUGAUUAAUUUGUUAAUGUGAUUCUUUUUUAAUUUUUUUUUACUAAUCUAAUUUUAUAAAUUGACUAGCAUGCUUUUUUUCUUUCUUUCUAAGCAAAAUAAAGGAAUAUAUUUUUUGUUAUAGGUAGAAAUUUUUUUUCUUGAAUAAAG
rnacentral:lncRNA from 1 species